rnacentral:sRNA from 2 species
UUUCCCUACGGAUGCUCAGGUCCGCCGCAUCUCCUGGGUCCCGUGGGGUUCGGCCGGCACGGAAGCGGUUACGUGGCCUCCUCGAACCCGCUUCCGGCCGGCCACCUC